UACGAAGGGGGCUAGCGUUGCUCGGAAUCACUGGACGUAAAGCGCGCGUAGGCGGAUCUGCAAGUCGGGGUGAAAUCCCGAGGCUCAACCUCGGAACUGCCUUCGAUACUGCGGGUCUCGAGUCCGGGAGAGGUGAGUGGAAUUCCUAGUGUAGAGGUGAAAUUCGUAGAUAUUAGGAAGAACACCAGUGGCGAAGGCGGCUCACUGGCCCGGUACUGACGCUGAGGCGCGAAAGCGUGGGGAGCAAACAGGG
rnacentral:rRNA from 1 species